ensembl:lncRNA
CAAACUACAGUUGUGUGAAAAAGUGUUUGCCUAUUUUUUUUAAUGUUUUUCACACUUAAAUGUUAAAGACAAUCAAAAAAUAGGUAGUAAAUAGAAGUAAAGUUAACACAAAAUGGAGUUUCUAAAGGAAGGUGGUUAUUAUUAAGGGGGAAAAAAUCCAAACCUACAUGGGCCUUUGUGAAAAAGUGAUUGCCCCCAUAAACCUAAUAAUUGGUUGGGCCACCCCAGGGCUCUAGACUAACUUUUUGCCACGGUUGCACUGGUGUGCCUAACGUUUUUUUCUUAGCUGCACCAGCACAAAAGUUAGGUGCACCCAAAGUAAACAUCGCUUAACACCGCAGCUUUACAUCUUCUUUUUUUUUUUAUUGUUUUCCAUAUAGACAAUAUUGAUUUUGUAAAUGAUUAACUAACAAUCUUGUCAACACAAAGACCAUAAGGCGCUCCGGAUUAUAAGGCGCAUUAAGCGAAACCAAACAGCCAGAUAAGUCAAACUUUACUAAACUCAUUCUUCUUGCUUCCUCCACUUCCGUACCAUUGAUUCAUUAGUGUUGAAUUAUCUCUGCUCUAUUCCCAUGUUCGACUGCAUCACUGAUAGAGUUUGAAAUCCCCUCCGUAAGCAUGUCUCUUAACAGGUGCCAUUCUGGGGUGCUUAUAUACACACAAUGCGAUAAUAUUAUGUUGAAGCACGAUACGUGAGGCUCCUGACUAUAGUGCGACCUAGGAUUGUUUUUUGGCGGAACAUUGGCGCAUUGGUGGAAUGUCCCUACAUCAUUUCCCCUUUCUGCGCGUCUGUGCAGAGACACGUAUGACAAACAAAUCGAUCGAACAGCAGCAGCACGGAGUCGGUGCUGCAGCACUUCAGCAGCGCGUCCAGCUACUCUAAGCAGCACCUUCAUGAUUGGUUUAGGCCACUAUAUGGGCAUAAUGUUUUCUGCUGUUGGCCACACAGAGGCUUUCAGAGUUGCAGAGACUUUUUUUUUUUUUUACUUGAGUGGCUGGUUGCACCUAGGAUUUUUUCUAGUUGCACCAUUGAGAAAUUUGGUAGCAUUUGCGACCAAAUUGGUCGCACUCUAGAGUAGUGAUAGGAUUUCCGGCUCUUUUGGCUCCGAACUGGCUCUUCAGGUUGUUUUGUUGCUUUAAUUAAUUUAUUAUUAACAAUAACAUAAAAUUAUGCACAAAAGGAAUUACUAAUGUAAAAAAAAGUGGUUUUAUUUAUAUAUGUUUAUA